GAUGAACGCUGGCGGCGUGCCUAAUACAUGCAAGUCGAGCGAACGGACGAGAAGCUUGCUUCUCUGAUGUUAGCGGCGGACGGGUGAGUAACACGUGGAUAACCUACCUAUAAGACUGGGAUAACUUCGGGAAACCGGAGCUAAUACCGGAUAAUAUUUUGAACCGCAUGGUUCAAAAGUGAAAGACGGUCUUGCUGUCACUUAUAGAUGUAUCCGCGCUGCAUUAGCUAGUUGGUAAGGUAACGGCUUACCAAGGCAACGAUGCAUAGCCGACCUGAGAGGGUGAUCGGCCACACUGGAACUGAGACACGGUCCAGACUCCUACGGGAGGCAGCAGUAGGGAAUCUUCCGCAAUGGGCGAAAGCCUGACGGAGCAACGCCGCGUGAGUGAUGAAGGUCUUCGGAUCGUAAAACUCUUUUAUUAGGGAAGAACAUAUGUGUAAGUAACUGUGCACAUCUUGACGGUACCUAAUCAGAAAGCCACGGCUAACUACGUG
rnacentral:rRNA from 1 species